GAGAGGGAUGGAGGACAUGCUGGCCCACAAUCACCUUGAUGGUUUCAUGGAAGGGCUUGGAGAAAGAAGAAACACUUAAAAUGUUCUGACUAUGAAAGUCAGAAACAUUAUAUAAAAAUUUGAAAAUAAAGGAAAUUGAGAGAAGAUUUAAAAAAAACCAAGAACCUUUUAAAACCUUAGAGCCAACCAACCACUGUCCACUGCACCAUGAAGUGAUGGAUAUCAGGCUCUGUGUCUUAAAAGCUGCUGCCUGCUGUACAAUUCUACAUUUUUUUCCUUGAAGUAUAAUG